rnacentral:lncRNA from 1 species
AAAAUAAAAAAUAUAUAUUAAAAGUUAACCAACACAAAGAAAAUAACUUAUCUUUUGGGAGUCAAAUUAGGUUAAUUAAAAAUUAUAAAGUUAGAGUUAAACAACAAACAAUAAAUCAUCACAAUUAAAUAAUUAAAGAGUAAGGAAGAAAAUGAAUUUGGGCCUCCUUUUGGGCCAAAUUCGCUGGAAUUUUUGGGGGUUUAAAUCUGAACCCGUUUUUGUAUACAACUUAUGUAUAUUAGUGUAUAUUAACGUGUAUAUCAGCCUCUUUCAUGUAUUUCUUGCUUCCAAACACAUGUAUUUCGCCUCAUCCCUGUGUUCCUGCGUUUUUGACCUGUAUAUCUCUAUAUAAUGAUGUAUACUGCUGUAUACAAUAUAUAUACAGCCUAUUUCUGGCUUUUCGAGACCUAUGUUUCAGCUUCCUUAGCCUGUAAGUUAGCUUCUCUUCCCUUGUAUUCUAGCUUCCCAUCAAUUUGAGCAAUAACGACGACCGACUCGAUAAAAUAGGAGUGUUGGGUUUCAACCCAACUCGAGGUGCAAGGAAUGAAGGAGAGGGUCCAAUGGAUCCAAAUUGAGGAAGGUCAUGCACAAAAUAAGAAAUGAUAAGAAUUAGUAACUAAUCAAAAUUGAACACUCACUAAAGUAGCUAUGUAUGUAAAAUAGUAAUAAGAUAAAUUUCCUCACAAUAGCAUGACCAACAUUAACAACUCUUAGAUGGAUAGAUAUGCAAAGAAUCAAGAAUUAAGGAAGUGAAACUAGCAAAGCUUCACAGUAACUUUGAUGCACACUGGGAUUGAAGAAGUUAAAGACACCAAACCAAACUUCAUGUGGCUUUCCAAAGGAAACAACCGAAUGACAAAUCUCAAAGAGUACAUUGAUGAUUUCAAACCCGUGCUUAUUAAAAUUACCUUAUUUCAACACGACUGUCAAUAUUCGAUCUUAAUUCACAAAUAAACUAACAUCAUGUAAUUUUCGACUCUAAAUCAUGUUGAAAUCCCGUUCACGAGUCAAAACAUAAAUCUAACAUAUAUGACUCCCAACAUGACAAAAUACAAGUUCAUGAAAAGAGUAAAGUAAUCCAACAACAAACAAAGGGACAAGAGUUGCCUGGGAACAUAAAAGAAAAAUGCAACAAAAAUAUAAUAAUAAAAUAAGAUGGCAUGAAUUGAAAAGAAGCUUCAAUAAUGAAGGAGACAAUUGGAUUUGUACCAAUAUCCUGUAUUAAGCAAAGAAGGACAAAUAACUACCCAUAUCAAGACAAGUAUUAAGAUUUUUGGGGAAAAAGACCACAAUAGCUUUACACUUAUAUAUAUACACAUACACACCAACUACAAUAUAAAAACAAGAUAAAAUAAUUUUUGGCUAAUGUUAGCACACGAGUCACAUUUGCACACCAAUGAUUUAACAAAUCAUAGUAAUUCAAUUCAACGAGCUUACACUAAAUUUAUAGCACACCAUAUCUUAUCAACAAGAGGAGUAACAUUUACCUAAAUUCGAAUGCUAAAACGACAACUAGGUAUCACCAUUAUGGGAGCCAAAAGCGAACAACAACAACAUGAUCAAAAUUCAAAAAAAAUUCAAACAAUGCGAACACGAGAUGAAGAGGAAUUUAACAAAAAGUAAGAAUGAUAUUACCUUUUUCUGGGCAGCGAACUGAGACAACGAGUUUAACCACGAAGAACUACC